CCUACGGGAGGCAGCAGUGGGGGAUAUUGCACAAUGGGGGGAACCCUGAUGCAGCGACGCCGCGUGGGUGAAGAAGCGCCUCGGCGCGUAAAGCCCUGUCAGCAGGGAAGAAAAUGACGGUACCUGAAGAAGAAGCCCCGGCUAACUACGUCCCAGCAGCCGCGGUAAUACGUAGGGGGCAAGCGUUAUCCGGAUUUACUGGGUGUAACGGGGGCGCAGACGGCGAUGCAAGCCAGGAGUGAAAGCCCGGGGCCCAACCCCGGGACUGCUCUUGGAACUGCGUGGCUGGAGUGCAGGAGGGGCAGGCGGAAUUCCUGGUGUAGCGGUGAAAUGCGUAGAUAGCAGGAGGAACACCGGUGGCGAAGGCGGCCUGCUGGACUGCAACUGACGUUGAGGCCCGAAAGUGUGGGGAGCAAACAGGAUUAGAUACCCCAGUAGUC
rnacentral:rRNA from 1 species